GAUGAAGAACGUAGCGAAAUGCGAUAAGUAAUGUGAAUUGCAGAAUUCAGUGAAUCAUCGAAUCUUUGAACGCAUCUUGCGCUCCUUGGUAUUCUGAGGAGCAUGCCUGUUUGAGUGUCAUUAAAUUCUCAACUACACUGACUUUGAAUUGGUGUGGCUUGGAUUUGGGGGGAAAAUUGUUGUGGGCUUUUUGUAUAGUCUGCUCCCCUGAAAUUGAUUAGCGGUACCUUUGUGGAACUGUCUACAGGUGUGAUAAUUAUCUACAUCUUAGACAUCUGCUGGAAUGCUGCUUUCUAAACCUUACUUGUAUUGACAAUCUUGACCUCAAAUCAGGUAGGACUACCCGCUGAACUUAAGCAUAUCAAUAAGCGGGGA
rnacentral:misc_RNA from 1 species